AUUGAACGCUGGCGGCAGGCCUAACACAUGCAAGUCGAGCGGUAGCACAGGGAGCUUGCUCCUGGGUGACGAGCGGCGGACGGGUGAGUAAUGUCUGGGAAACUGCCUGAUGGAGGGGGAUAACUACUGGAAACGGUAGCUAAUACCGCAUAACGUCGCAAGACCAAAGAGGGGGACCUUCGGGCCUCUUGCCAUCAGAUGUGCCCAGAUGGGAUUAGCUAGUAGGUGGGGUAACGGCUCACCUAGGCGACGAUCCCUAGCUGGUCUGAGAGGGUGACCAGCCACACUGGAACUGAGACACGGUCCAGACUCCUACGGGAGGCAGCAGUGGGGAAUAUUGCACAAUGGGCGCAAGCCUGAUGCAGCCAUGCCGCGUGUAUGAAGAAGGCCUUCGGGUUGUAAAGUACUUUCAGCGGGGAGGAAGGUGUUGAGGUUAAUAACCUCAGCAAUUGACGUUACCCGCAGAAGAAGCACCGGCUAACUACGUGCCAGCCGCCGCGGUAA
rnacentral:rRNA from 1 species